rnacentral:rRNA from 1 species
UACGUAGGGUGCAAGCGUUGUCCGGAAUUAUUGGGCGUAAAGAGCUCGUAGGCGGUUCGUCGCGUCGGCUGUGAAAACCUGAGGCUCAACCUCAGGCCUGCAGUCGAUACGGGCGGACUUGAGUACUGCAGGGGAGACUGGAAUUCCUGGUGUAGCGGUGAAAUGCGCGGAUAUCAGGAGGAACACCGGUGGCGAAGGCGGGUCUCUGGGCAGUAACUGACGCUGUGGCGCGAAAGCGUGGGGAGCGAACGGG